CCUACGGGAGGCAGCAGUGGGGAAUAUUGGACAAUGGGGGGAACCCUGAUCCAGCCAUGCCGCGUGUGUGAAAAAGGCCUUAUGGUUGUAAAGCACUUUAAGCGAGGAGGAGGCUCUUUUGGUUAAUACCCAAGAUAAGUGGACGUUACUCGCAGAAUAAGCACCAGCUAACUCUGUGCCAGCAGCCGCGGUAAU
rnacentral:rRNA from 1 species